rnacentral:rRNA from 1 species
CAAACGGGUGCGGAACACGUACAGAACCUACCUUUACCUGGGGCAUAGCCCGGAGAAAUCCGGAUUAACUCCCCAUAACAUAUAUGAGUGGCAUCACUUGAAUAUUAAAAAUUUAUUGGGUAAAGAUGGCUGUGCGUCCCAUUAGCUAGUUGGUAGGGUAACGGCCUACCAAGGCGACGAUGGGUAGCUGGUGUGAGAGCACGACCAGCCACACGGGCACUGAGACACGGGCCCGACUCCUACGGGAGGCAGCAGUGAGGAAUAUUGGUCAAUGGACGCAAGUCUGAACCAGCCAUGCCGCGUGAAGGAUGAAGGCCUUCUGGGUUGUAAACUUCUUUUACCUGGGAAGAAACCACUUUUUUCUAAAAGUGUUGACGGUACCAGAGGAAUAAGCACCGGCUAACUCCGUGCCAGCAGCCGCGGUAAUACGGAGGGUGCAAGCGUUAUCCGGAUUUAUUGGGUUUAAAGGGUGCGUAGGCGGCCUUGUAAGUCAGGGGUGAAAGACGGUAGCUUAACUAUCGCAGUGCCUUUGAUACUGCAGGGGCUUGAAUGUACUUGAGGUAGGCGGAAUGUGACAAGUAGCGGUGAAAUGCCAUAGAUAUGUCCCCAGAACACCAAUUGCGAAGGCA